UAAAAGUUUUAUUUUAGCUUAAUAAUUUAUUUUUUUUAUUUUUUAUAUGUAAAUUUUUGUAUGAAUUAAAAAUAUUUUAAAUAAAUAUUUUUUUUAUUUUUAUUUUCAGUAUUUAAUAUUAAUUAUUAAAGAAAUUUAUAAUUAGAAAUAAAUAAUAUUAUAGGUUAAUUUUGUGCCAGCAUCCGCGGUUAUACAAAAUAUAAUAAUAAAUUAUAUUGGUUUAUAGUUAAUUGAUUUUUAUAAAAUAAUAAUUUAAUUUUUUAGGUUAAAUUUUAAAUUAAUUUGAAUUUUAUGAUUUUAUUUUUGAAGCUAUUAAAUUUUAUUAAUAAACUAGGAUUAGAUACCCUAUUAUUUAAAAUGUAAAUAUAAAAACUUAAGUAGUAAUAGUUAUAGUCUUGAAACUUAAAAAAUUUGGCGGUAUUUUAGUCUUUUUAGAGGAAUCUGUUCCAUAAUCGAUAAUCCACGUUAUAUUUUACAUAAUUUUAUUUAGUUUGUAUAUCGUCGUUAUAAGAAUAUUUUAUAAGAAUAAAAAAUUUUCUAGAAUUUUAAUUAAAAGUUAUUUCAGAUCAAGGUGCAGCUAUAAUUAUGAGGAAAUGGAUUACAAUAAAUUUAUUUAAAUGGAUUUAAGUUUGUAAAAAAUUUAAUGAAGGUGGAUUUAAUAGUAAAUUAAAUUAUAUUAUUUAAUUGAUUUUAGCACUAAAAUAUGUACACAUCGCCCGUCGCUCUCAUUAUAAAUUUGAGAUAAGUCGUAACAUAGUAGAUGUACUGGAAAGUGUAUCUAGAAUGA
rnacentral:ncRNA from 1 species